rnacentral:rRNA from 1 species
UACGUAGGGUGCAAGCGUUGUCCGGAAUUAUUGGGCGUAAAGAGCUCGUAGGCGGUCUGUCGCGUCGGCUGUGAAAACCCGGGGCUCAACCCCGGGCCUGCAGUCGAUACGGGCAGACUAGAGUGCGGUAGGGGAGACUGGAAUUCCUGGUGUAGCGGUGAAAUGCGCAGAUAUCAGGAGGAACACCGGUGGCGAAGGCGGGUCUCUGGGCCGUAACUGACGCUGAGGAGCGAAAACGUGGGGAGCGAACAGG